ACCCCUAAGGCGAGGCCGAAAGGCGUAGUCGAUGGGAAACAGGUUAAUAUUCCUGUACUUGGUGUUACUGCGAAGGGGGGACGGAGAAGGCUAUGUUGGCCGGGCGACGGUUGUCCCGGUUUAAGCGUGUAGGCUGGUUUUCCAGGCAAAUCCGGAAAAUCAAGGCUGAGGCGUGAUGACGAGGCACUGCGGUGCUGAAGCAACAAAUGCCCUGCUUCCAGGAAAAGCCUCUAAGCAUCAGGUAACAUCAAAUCGUACCCCAAACCGACACAGGUGGUCAGGUAGAGAAUACCAAGGCGCUUGAGAGAACUCGGGUGAAGGAACUAGGCAAAAUGGUGCCGUAACUUCGGGAGAAGGCACGCUGAUAUGUAGGUGAAGCGACUUGCUCGUGGAGCUGAAAUCAGUCGAAGAUACCAGCUGGCUGCAACUGUUUAUUAAAAACACAGCACUGUGCAAACACGAAAGUGGACGUAUACGGUGUGACGCCUGCCCGGUGCCGGAAGGUUAAUUGAUGGGGUCAGCGCAAGCGAAGCUCUUGAUCGAAGCCCCGGUAAACGGCGGCCGUAACAAUAACGGUCCUAAGGUAGCGAAAUUCCUUGUCGGGUAAGUUCCGACCUGCACGAAUGGCGUAAUGAUGGCCAGGCUGUCUCCACCCGAGACUCAGUGAAAUUGAACUCGCUGUGAAGAUGCAGUGUACCCGCGGCAAGACGGAAAGACCCCGUGAACCUUUACUAUAGCUUGACACUGAACAUUGAGCCUUGAUGUGUAGGAUAGGUGGGAGGCUUUGAAGUGUGGACGCCAGUCUGCAUGGAGCCGACCUUGAAAUACCACCCUUUAAUGUUUGAUGUUCUAACGUGGACCCGUGAUCCGGGUUGCGGACAGUGUCUGGUGGGUAGUUUGACUGGGGCGGUCUCCUCCUAAAGAGUAACGGAGGAGCACGAAGGUUGGCUAAUCCUGGUCGGACAUCAGGAGGUUAGUGCAAUGGCAUAAGCCAGCUUGACUGCGAGCGUGACGGCGCGAGCAGGUGCGAAAGCAGGUCAUAGUGAUCCGGUGGUUCUGAAUGGAAGGGCCAUCGCUCAACGGAUAAAAGGUACUCCGGGGAUAACAGGCUGAUACCGCCCAAGAGUUCAUAUCGACGGCGGUGUUUGGCACCUCGAUGUCGGCUCAUCACAUCCUGGAGCUGAAGUAGGUCCCAAGGGUAUGGCUGUUCGCCAUUUAAAGUGGUACGCGAGCUGGGUUUAGAACGUCGUGAGACAGUUCGGUCCCUAUCUGCCGUGGGCGCUGGAGAACUGAGGGGGGCUGCUCCUAGUACGAGAGGACCGGAGUGGACGCAUCACUGGUGUUCGGGUUGUCAUGCCAAUGGCACUGCCCGGUAGCUAAAUGCGGAAGAGAUAAGUGCUGAAAGCAUCUAAGCACGAAACUUGCCCCGAGAUGAGUUCUCCCUGACUCCUUGAGAGUCCUGAAGGAACGUUGAAGACGACGACGUUGAUAGGCCGGGUGUGUAAGCGCAGCGAUGCGUUGAGCUAACCGGUACUAAUGAACCGUGAGGCUUAACCC
rnacentral:rRNA from 1 species